rnacentral:lncRNA from 1 species
CACGAUUCCCGAACCCCGAGGCGCAGGAACCAUCCUGACGGUAACGGACCCGCACUUUCCCGUAACCUUGCACGGAACGGUGUGGGGCUUUCCGAUCUUGUUGCCCCAGUACCCUCUCCUAACGGGGAUAACGGAAAGCUUCGCCAAAAUGAUGGCGCCGCGAAUGGCGGUGGCCACCUCCUUGCUACACUUAACGCCGAGACCGACGUGACCAUUACCGUCGCCGACAACAACGAAGGCCUUGAACCGGGUUCGUUGACCGGCCCGGGUCUGCUUCUGGACCGGCGUGAUUUUCAUGACCUCGUCCUUGAGGGUGGGACCCACGAGGGUGUCAAUGAUUUGGUGUUCCUUGAUGGGAAGGGAGUGGAGGUAGAUCUGUUCCAAGCUUCGGAUUCUGCCCUCCUUCACCAGACGCCCGAGCUUCGUAACAGGGACCCACUUCUCCUCCUCCUCACGGCGAGGCCCUCGGCGGCGUCCACGACCCCUGUC